CACCUGUUAAAUGAUUCCCAUGUCUCUCCCCCUCACCUGUUAAAUGAUUCCCAUGUCUCUCCCCCUUCACCUGUUACAGAUAACAAAAAUUAUAUAGUGAGUCUUCACUUUCUGGUUCUCCUCAAGGCUCAAAGCCUCUCGAUCCACUCAGAUAUCCAAAACCAAGUAGUUUUCUGUUCCUGCAGGUUGCUUGUUAUCUCAUUACAGGACUUUAUCAGCCAAUAAAAACACAAAUAUCUUAUAACACAGUUGAUGUCCAUAUUAGAGAAGACAGCUGUAGGAUGGAUGGGCAACCUCUGAUACAGGUGAGGUGUUAGUUUGGACAGGACAGGUGAGGUGUUAGUUUGGACAGGACAGGUGAGGUGUUAGUUUGGACAGGGCAGGUGAGGUGUUAGUUUGGACAGGACAGGUGAGGUGUUAGUUUGGACAGGACAGGUGAGGUGUUAGUUUGGACAGGACAGGUGAGGUGUUAGUUUGGACAGGGCAGGUGAGGUGUUAGUUUGGACAGGGCAGGUGAGGUGUUAGUUUGGACAGGGCAGGUGAGGUGUUAGUUUGGACAGGACAGGUGAGGUGUUAGUUUGGACAGGGCAGGUGAGGUGUUAGUUUGGACAGGACAGGUGAGGUGUUAGUUUGGACAGGGCAGGUGAGUUGUUAGUUUGGACAGGACAGGUGAGGUGUUAGUUUGGACAGGACAGGUGAGGUGUUAGUUUGGACAGGGCAGGUGAGGUGUUAGUUUGGACAGGGCAGGUGAGGUGUUAGCUUGGACAGGGCAGGUGAGGUGUUAGUUUGGACAGGGCAGGUGAGGUGUUAGUUUGGACAGGACAGGUGAGGUGUUAGUUUGGACAGGACAGAAGACAGUGGUGUCUCUCAUUCUUCCUCUUCAUUAUAUCACAACAUCCCAGUGUAACCUUGUCCCUGCCUGGAUACAGUAGUACAGUACCUUUAGAUAUGACCUAUAUAUCACAACAUCCCAGUGUAACCUUGUCCCUGCCUGGAUACAGUAGUACAGUACCUUUAGAUAUGACCUAUAUAUCACAACAUCCCAGUGUAACCUUGUCCCUGCCUGGAUACAGUAGUACAGUACCUUUAGAUAUGACCUAUAUAUCACAACAUCCCAGUGUAACCUUGUCCCUGCCUGGAUACAGUAGUACAGUACCUUUAGAUAUGACCUAUAUAUCACAACAUCCCAAAUAACACCUUAUUCCCUUUAUAGUGCACUACUUUACAACAGAGACCUAUGAGCCAUUUGGGAAGCGGCCUGUGUGUUCUGUCUCACCUGAGGGGUGUGUGUGUGUGUUCUGUCCCACCUGAGGUGUGUGUGUUCUGUCUCACCUGAGGUGUGUGUGUGUGUUCUGUCUCACCUGAGGUGUGUGUGUGUGUUCUGUCUCAUCUGAGGUGUGUGUGUGUGUUCUGUCUCAUCUGAGGUGUGUGUGUGUGUUCUGUCUCAUCUGAGGUGUGUGUGUGUGUUCUGUCUCACCUGAGGUGUGUGUGUGUGUUCUGUCUCACCUGAGGUGUGUGUGUGUGUGUGUGUGUUCUGUCUCACCUGAGGUGUGUGUGUGUGUGUGUGUGUGUGUUCUGUCUCACCUGGCGUGUGUGUGUGUUCUGUCUUACCUGGUAUGUGUGUGUGUGUUCUGUCUUACCUGAGGGGUGUGUGUGUGUGUUCUGUCUCACCUGAGGGGGGCUGUGUGUGUGUGUUCUGUCUCACCUGAGGUGUUCUGUCCUUUCUGUCACACCUACCUGUCCGCCACGAUCCAUUGUGGACACCUGAACAUUCGUCUCUAUGACGGGUGUCUUUCAGAAGUCCUCUGGCUACGUUUACACAGGCAGCCCAGUUCUGAUCUUUUGCCACCUAAUUGAUAUUUUGCCAAUUAAAAGAUAAGAAUUGGACUGCCAGCGUAAAAGGACGUAACGUAACGCCCGUAUGACUUGGAGAGAAGUCUACACAUCAUCGCCUUGCCAUUCCACCAAAAUACAUGGAAUGCCCAUCGGAAGGACUACGGUCUGGGAUGGUAAUAUAAGGUCUGGGAUGGUAAUAGAAGGUCUGGGAUGGUAAUAGAAGGUCUGGGAUGGUAAUAGAAGGUCUGGGAUGGUUAUAGAAGGUCUGGGAUGGUAAUAGAAGGUCUGGGAUGGUAAUAGAAGGUCUGGGAUGGUAAUAGAAGGUAUGGGAUGGUUAUAGAAGGUCUGGGAUGGUUAUAGAAGGUCUGGGAUGGUUAUAGAAGGUCUACAGGGAAUCUAUAUGUUAUCCGAUAGGGUCUCAGUGGAUAUAAGGUCUGCAGGAAUCUAUAUGUGAUCCGAUAGGGUCUCAGUAGAUAUAAGGUCUGGGAUGGUUAUAGUAGAUCUACAGGAAUCUAUAUGUGAUCCGAUAGGGUCUCAGUAGAUAUAAGGUCUGGGAUGGUUAUAGUAGAUCUACAGGAAUCUAUAUGUGAUCUGAUAGGGUCUCAGUAGAUAUAAGGUCUGGGAUGGUUAUAGUAGAUCUACAGGAAUCUAUAUGUGAUCCGAUAGGGUCUCAGUAGAUAUAAGGUCUGGGAUGGUUAUAGUAGAUCUACAGGGAUCUAUAUGUGAUCCGAUAGGGUCUCAGUAGAUAUAAGGUCUGGGAUGGUUAUAGUAGAUCUACAGGGAUCUAUAUGUGAUCCGAUAGGGUCUCAGUAGAUAUAAGGUCUGGGAUGGUUAUAGUAGAUCUACAGGGAUCUAUAUGUGAUCCGAUAGGGUCUCAGUAGAUAUAAGGUCUGCAUGACACUAUACACUUGGGACACUUAUUAACAUGUUUCCAUAUAAUCAUAUUGGUGUGUGUUAUUGUGUAAGUGUGUGUGUGGUGUGUGUGUCUUAGUGUGUAAGAGGUUCCCCCUGGUUUAGGCUAUACUGCUGUGCUAGCCAAGGGAUUUUUAGGUUGUAUAAGCAAUAUUAAAUAUGGACUGUUGUUGUUUUUUUUGGUGUGUAUUUUUGGAAGUGGAAGGGAGGAGGGAACGGAGAGGGGUAUUGCUUCUUAUUUCUCCCUGGUGACUGAGACACAUAUUGAUGAUGUAACAGCAGUAAAUUAUUUAUCCUAAA